AGGACGAACGCUGGCGGCGUGCCUAAUACAUGCAAGUCGAACAAGACUUUCCUCGGUGGUAACACCUUUGAUUGUCUAGUGGCGAACGGGUGAGUAACACGUGAGAAACCUGCCCUGAAGACGGGGAUAACAGGAGGAAACUUCUGCUAAUACCCGAUACCCCCACCGGAUCGCAUGGUCUGGUGAGGAAAUGGAUUCCGCUUCAGGAGGGCCUCGCGGCCUAUCAGCUUGUUGGUGAGGUAACGGCUUACCAAGGCUUGGACGGGUAGCUGGUCUGAGAGGACGAUCAGCCACA
rnacentral:rRNA from 1 species